UCCUCUUCUCUGCCUUUUCACUCAAAAAACAUUCCCGUGCCGCCGCCACCACCACCGCCGUCUGAAAUGGCAUACCUACUCCAAAUCAAUACCCCAGGAGGAUUACUCGAUCUCAACGUACGCCUAUCUAAUCACAAAAACCAUCUGCCAGAGAAAUAUGCUUGGAAAUCAAUGAUAGCCAAAAUGAAAAUUGUUCAGUAAAUGGAGAUGAUAUUGAAGAAGAUCUGAGAAGACAAGCUCAGAUCGUUUGAAUGGACAUAUAAGUGCAGUCGAAUUGAACUGAAAUCUGUGUUUACGAAGAAGAUCGUGUGAGAUGUGAAGCUGAAUCUGAUGUAUGGAGAUGAAUUUUAAAAUUAUCAAAUUUGAUUGGUAGUGUGAAGAUUCUCCACUUAAAAGACUAGUGAUUUUUGGUUUGUCAGUAUUGUUGUUAAAGGAGUUACUUGUAAGAAAAAUGUUUCCAGCCGGUGGAUGAUUUCUAAAAUUGAGAAGCCCCAUUUUCUUAUCCUCGGAGGAGCUCAUAUGGCAGCAGGAAACAUUUCAUUUGAAGCACAUGGGAGUGUUGGGCAGGGAGUAAGGAAAUAGGUGAAGACACUUAUGUUCUUUCAAGAGUGCCCCAAGUCAUUGGGUUGUACUGUUCCAUAACAUUGUCGCUUGGUUUCGAUAUGCGUUGAUUGACGUUCACUCAGUAGACCUUCCACCCUCAAAACUUGAUUUCAGCUACGGAAAUCCAGAAUGGGUAAAGAAAGAGGUCAAUCUGGUUCAGUGACUACAAACCGAGAUAGCGACGAAUAUACUUGAAAUUAAUCGAUUGAGAGUGCAGUUGCUCUUCCAUUCGUAUGUGUGGGACCAGCGACUGAUUCCUGCAGCAAAAUUAUAGACAACAGACACCAGGAAGGGCUCAACAGCUCUAUACAAGAAUAUAUGGAGGAGUCUAUAAGUACUGCAGAUAAGCUUGUAUCAACAAACUCAACUUCCAGGCAAGGUGGUAAAGAUUCUCCCAGUUUUGACUCCGUACUUACAGAUCAAGAUGUGAUAAAAAAUUGCAAGCUGGAAGGAAGUGGUGAGCAGGUGGAUUCAUUCCAAAUCAUAACACCCCAGGGCCACAUCUUUUAUCUAGCUUAAGUUUAAAUGCCCAGGCCGAUCCUUUGGAACCUGGAAUACAUGUGCGGAGGGCAAAUUGAGAAAGUCAGUUCCCGAUUGUACUGAACCUUGAUGCAGCAUGGAGUGGUGAAAACAUGCCAGGGAGUAUGAUAUUGGAAAUUAAGCGUGAAGUGGCAGCAGAUUCAAUCAGUGCAAGAAGCCCAACUUGGCUGGCAAAAUUUUUGGGUGUCUAUCAGUUUUCUGGGUUCAGGAGGAACCUCAUUUAUCUUCAACGCUGCUGUCUUCAACCUCUUGGCGAAAUCAGAACGUUGCACUGCAGCUUUAUGAUCCAUCUUUACGAAUCCGUCAGUGCGGUCCCUGCCUAAAAUGUGGUUAAGCAAGAAAUGAAGCUGAUCUGGGUCGAUAAUCGACAUGUUCUCCCUGGGCCUGGUGAUUUUGCAAGUCCCACCCCAGAGAGAGAGAGAAAUUGGGAAUUCACAAAAAAUCAAAUCACCUGAAAACUGGAAUACGGAAAAAUACCAUCUCGUCGCUUGAAAUUGGUAAAUCAGAUAAAGAUCAGAGUGCGUGAUUAAAUCCAUCCCCAUCAACUAAACCCAAUAUCCCACACAAGAAUCAAAAAGAUCAUCUCCUGGAAUUGGGAAAUCAGAAGAAGAACUUCUCGUCUCGUGAAAUUGGGAAUUCUUCAAAUUAGGGGUGCACCGGAUUCGUGGAUGAAUUCACACCAACAACAUCAUCAACCAAACAUCACAGGUACCUUUUUCUAUCAUGGGGUUCUUAAGAUCGGUCUUGAAAAACCUAGGGUUUCACCAAUUUACUUCUUCGUUAUUACUUUCUUCAGCAAGAAAAAAAUUAGGGUUUGAAGAUGGGAAAUUGUCAUCUCUUUUUUCUUUAUCCAAGUUGUUGUUUUCUUCUUCUUCGGUGAAGAAAUCUACUAGCGUUUACAUAAGCUCUGAGUAUCCUAAAGUGGUAGAAGAAAAUGAUCUUUUGAGUUGCUUGUAUCUCCGCAAGGACAGUAAUCCAAUUCCGGUUUUAACUGGAUCGAAGCCGCUGUUUAAUGAGAAAGUUCGUUUCA